rnacentral:lncRNA from 1 species
GGCGACUCGCUGGGGUUCCCUUACCGAGCUGUGGGAGCUUUGUUCUUUCGCUUUUUGCAAUAAAUCUUGCUGCUGCUCACUCUUUGGGUCCACACUGCCUUUAUGAGCUGUAACACUCACGGUGAAGGUCCGCAGCUUCACUCCUGAGCCGGCGAGACCACGAACCCACCAGAAGGAAGAAACUCCGAACAUCAGAAGGAACCAACUCCGGACAUGCCGCCUUUAAGAACUGUAACACUCACCGCGAGGAGCCACGGCUUCAUUCUGGAAGUCAGUGAGACCGAGAACCCACUGAGUCCGGACACAUUAGGAUGUUAGAGUCCCACCUUCAAAGCAUUUUUCUCCUGGAGUGGACUUUGCACAAAUGGUAGGCCAAUUGUGGAGUCAGUGAAGAACCAGGCUAAUCCAGCUUGUUUUAUUGGCCCCAGUUUUUCUUCUCAGGGCCGUAAACCAGUUAUUACCAGGAAACAAAAGCAAAACUGGAGUGCAGUGGCUCAGUCUCAGCUCACUGCAACCUCUGCCUCCCAGUUCAAGUAAUUCUCCUGCCUCAGGUUCCUGAGUAGCUGCGACUACAGAGGACCAAGAACUUCGCUUUAUUCCUGGCAGUGUGCAUUGCUCAUGGCAGCAUGAAAAAAACAGAGUCCUGAGUAUGAAGUA